rnacentral:rRNA from 1 species
UACAGGGGGUGCAAACGUUGCUCGGAAUUAUUGGGCGUAAAGCGCGCGUAGGCGGCUACUUAAGUCGGGUGUGAAAGCCCCGGGCUCAACCUGGGAAUUGCAUUCGAGACUGCAUUGCUGGAGUACGGAAGAGGAAGGCGGAAUUCCCGGUGUAGCGGUGAAAUGCGCAGAUAUCGGGAGGAACACCAAUGGCGAAGGCAGCUCGCUGGGACGGUACUGACGCUAAGGCGCGAAAGCGUGGGGAGCAAACA